CUACUAUGUUCAGAGUUUGAUCCUGGCUCAGGACGAACGCUGGCGGCGUGCCUAACACAUGCAAGUCGAACGGAGUAAUUUCUUCGGAGAUUACUUAGUGGCGAACGGGUGAGUAACGCGUGAGAAACCUGCCUUUCAGUGGGGGACAACAGUUGGAAACGACUGCUAAUACCGCAUAAUGUUUCGAGAGGGCAUCCUCUUGAAACCAAAGCUUUAUGUGCUGAAAGAUGGUCUCGCGUCUGAUUAGCUAGUUGGUGAGGUAACGGCUCACCAAGGCGACGAUCAGUAGCCGGUCUGAGAGGAUGAACGGCCACAUUGGGACUGAGAUACGGCCCAG
rnacentral:rRNA from 1 species